CAGUAGCCGCGGGAAUACAGAGGGUGCGAGCGUUAAUCGGAUUUACUGGGCGUAAAGCGUGCGUAGGCGGCUUUUUAAGUCGGAUGUGAAAUCCCUGAGCUUAACUUAGGAAUUGCAUUCGAUACUGGGAAGCUAGAGUAUGGGAGAGGAUGGUAGAAUUCCAGGUGUAGCGGUGAAAUGCGUAGAGAUCUGGAGGAAUACCGAUGGCGAAGGCAGCCAUCUGGCCUAAUACUGACGCUGAGGUACGAAAGCAUGGGGAGCAAACAGGAUUAGAUACCCCGGUAGUCCCUGUCUCUUAUAU
rnacentral:rRNA from 1 species